AUUAACGCUGGCGGCGUGCAUGAGACAUGCAAGUCGAACGGACGGGCGAGCCUGCUCGCCCGUUUGUGGCGGACGGCUGAGUAACGCGUGGGUGACCUGCCCCGAAGUGGGGAAUAACUGCCCGAAAGGGUGGCUAAUACCGCAUGUGGUGACUGGUUCGUUCCAGUCUCCAAAGCCGCAAGGCGCUUCGGGAGGGGCCUGCGUCCGAUUAGCUCGUUGGUGGGGUAACGGC
rnacentral:rRNA from 1 species